CCUCACCUCUCCACCGGGGCCUCCUGAUGGGCGCAAGGACCGAGCACUGGUCUGGGCUCUAGACUUACAAGAUCUCUCUUUCUGGGACCCUCGUGGGAGGGCUCUAGUAGCGCUCGGCAGGCAGUCACUGGCAGGUCGCAACAAGAGUUGGCUCUCAUGUUGUGGACCAGGUGGCUCCAGAGCCCAGGUUCUCUACCCCAACCCUGGUCUUCCUCUGUCCUCGGAGUCUGACUCCCCUGAAGCUGACUCUGGGAGCUCACAA